rnacentral:lncRNA from 1 species
UCGACUAGGGGAUAGUGCCCUAUGAAGACGAGUAAGAUGUCAACUAGGGGAUGGCGCCCUAUGAAGACGAAAUAAGAUGUCCACUAGGGGAUGGCGCCCUAUGAAGACGAGUAAGAUGUCGACUAGGGGAUAGUGCCCUAUGAAGACGAGUAAGAUGUCAACUAGGGGAUGGCGCCCUAUGAAGACGAAAUAAGAUGUCCACUAGGGGAUGGCGCCCU